AGGGGGAGAGUAUACAGGUGGAGGCGGCGGUGGUGGUGGUGGAGGCGGAGGGGGAGAAUAAACAGGUGGAGGUGGAGGCGGUGGAGGCGGUGGAGGCGGUGGUGGUGGUGGUGGUGGUGGGGGAGAGUAGACGGGUGGUGGUGGAGGAGGAGGAGGUGGUGGUGGAGGGGAGUAGACAGGGGGAGGCGGAGGAGGGGAAUAGACAGGGGGAGGAGGAGGAGGAGAAUAGACGGGUGAUGGUGGAGGUGGCGAUGGUGGAGGCGGAGGAGGUAAUUGAGGUACAAUCGGAGGAAGGGGUGUAACAGAACGACCACACUUAAAAGAUUCACAAUCCACCGGAGGCCGAGACAAAAACGCUGCACAUUGCUCCGAAGACCUCUGAGCAGGACGCGACGGCAAACAAUUCCU
rnacentral:lncRNA from 1 species